AUUAGAAACAAUGUCUCUAAAAUGCUACCUA
rnacentral:piRNA from 1 species